CCCUAAGAUGACAUAGGUGAAAUUACUAAUAAAGACCCUAAUACCAAAAACAACUUGACUUCGACUUAAAGAAGACACCACCCUACCAUGACAGACUCAUAAAAGACUCAAACUGAAUAAAGAUAAGAAAUGCUCUUUCAGACUGGUGCUCUGCGUGAUGACCCUGGCUGAGAUGGACCUGCCUGUGAAGUUCUCUUUCUCCCAUUUAAACUUUGUAGCAUAUCCUGUAAAGACACCCUGAUAUUGGGGAAGAAGCUUCGGGCCCGUAUUC
rnacentral:lncRNA from 1 species